AAGAGUUUUAUCGGACCACCAACAAGAACCUGAUAGACAGCUUCAGAGCAGCCAUUCAUCAACACCCCCCGAGGCUCCUAAGACUCUAUCGGGCAAGGAGGAGCUUUUCCGCCAGAAAUGGACAUCCUACUUAACAGACUGGAUGAAGAGACAUCUGACUUGAUGACAAACUGCAGCCUUGAAGGGCCUUCCCUUGUAUCUCCGCGACAGUCCCGAGAAGCUGUUCAGGACUUGUCUUGCAACUGACCCAGAUGAGGAGCAAACAAAGGGCCUCGUUGCGGUGUCCUCACUGUGUUGGAGGAGGUUGAUGGCACUGUCGUGAACGUCGCUGUUAUUAUCGAGGAAAACAUCAUCCUUCAGGAUCUUCCUGACCUGCCAGCCGCUUUUGCUUACCUCUUUGGACUGAUCUACUCUCUAAACCUUCAGUACCCAAAAGAAGUGAGGCACACUUUUGAAACCAUUCAAAAGAUUUUCAUGGAACUUGGAAAGGAUCUUCCUGCAAGGGUCAGGUCCUUUAAAAACAAACUGCUUCAGUAAAGUCAUUUCUACUUCUGCAAUCUCAGGCUGUAACAGUGAAUAUUUUAUUGCUUGAUUGUUGACAAACCACUGUAGCAGCAACCAGCCUGGACAAAAAGCAGAGGUUUAGCAGUGGAAUAGGACUUGAAGGGUAGCGUCUUGCCCAGUGUUUAAUGUGAAAUUUUAAAAGUGUACGUUUUAGACCCUGCAGUACAUGCACAUCUUUUGUGUAGCUAGUUAGCUGGUGAUGUUGAAUCUGGGACAUUUUUAAAUCCCAGAAGAGAUUUAACUUUCACUUGGAUUGUCACAAACACUCUACCUCUAACUUCUUUUCUCUAUUUCUUUAUUUCUUUAUUUUCUCCCCA